CCCAGACGCGUUGCCAUUCUCCAUUCACCACUCAGAGCCGAAGAAACCGAGGGAGGAGGUUCUCUGCCUCUCCAUCGCCCCAAACCUUGCCGCCGGCCGUGGAAACGACGACCAUCGCCAUCGCUGAUUGGCCACCGGAACGCGACCACGCCGACGACGCCCUGGAGCACGCACCGGAGCGCCGCCGCUUCAACCAUCGUCGUCGUCCGGCCAUUCUUGACCACCUCGGAGCAAGCCGUUGUGCCAUCGUCAUCGCCUCAAUCUCCUCUUCAAUACGCCUCAAGAACCCCAGCCGGAGAUUUGAAGGACUCGGAGAACGCAUCUUUUCUUCACCGGCGCCGAUCUAGAAUCGCCUCCGCCGUCAUCGUCGAUUACCGCUGCCUCGCUCAUCGUCCCGUUCGAGCCGUCGUCGUUCACCCGAGGAGGAGCACCGUCGCCGAGCCGUUCCACAAGUCACCGCUGCCGCCAAGACCUCGAAAACCCUAGCUCGACCCACGGUGAGCAUCCUGAAGGCUAGAAGACCACAUGCAUGCAUCGUUCGGAAUCGAUUUCCAUGCACACAUGAGCUUUCACCCCAAGAACCACCGCCGCUCACACUCGCCAUCGGCGCUACUCCGAUGUCCUCUGACCAAGAAAACUAGAGGAAUGGAAUCGCAAGAACAUGCUCUUCAUUUUAUCUUUUAACCCCAACUCCAACCGAGCCACCAAUCGCCGCCGGUGAACCCGGGAUCGAGCUCAGCCAUGGCUGCUCUGCCUCUGUGCGUGUGAAAAAGGAGUCAGGGACUUCAGUUUGAGAAUUUAAAUAACUAUAAGGUUCAUUACGUAA